rnacentral:rRNA from 1 species
AUUGAACGCUGGCGGCAUGCCUUACACAUGCAAGUCGAACGGUAACGCGGGGCAACCUGGCGACGAGUGGCGAACGGGUGAGUAAUGCAUCGGAACGUGCCUGGUAGUGGGGGAUAACUGCUCGAAAGAGCAGCUAAUACCGCAUACGACCUGAGGGUGAAAGGGGGGGAUCGCAAGACCUCUCGCUAUCAGAGCGGCCGAUGUCGGAUUAGCUAGUUGGUGGGGUAAAGGCCCACCAAGGCGACGAUCCGUAGCUGGUCUGAGAGGACGACCAGCCACGCUGGGACUGGGACACGGCCCAGACUCCUACGGGAGGCAGCAGUGGGGAAUUUUGGACAAUGGACGCAAGUCUGAUCCAGCCAUGCCGCGUGCGGGAAGAAGGCCUUCGGGUUGUAAACCGCUUUUGUCAGGGAAGAAAUCUUCUGGACUAAUACUCUGGGAGGAUGACGGUACCUGAAGAAUAAGCACCGGCUAACUACGUGCCAGCCGCCGCCGUAAAAC